UUUCAGAUGAAUCUGGAGCAGGAGAGAAGUCUCAGAUUAACUUCUGAAAAAUGUGAUGAAAAAUCAGUGGCUGAACAGGGAAGAAAUACUCCGGUUAGUGCCCUCGUGGCAACAGGACAUUGCUGGGACCCAGCCAGACCCCACACCACCGCCUUUCCCUUGACGCACAGUGCCUCAUGCGGAUUAUUUUGAAGACAGAGGAAAAGUUACUUGCAAUCACCCAGUUUCCAUUUCAACCCACGYCUGGGAGCAGAGGAGGGGAAAUUCCCUGACAAGCUGCUGAAUCACCCCUGGGAAAGUGCUCUGAGUUGCAGCGAUUCUCCUCAGGCCCUGUUCCCUGCAGGAGAACACAAGGAGGUAGGGGAAGCCCUGAAAGAAGCCUUUGACAUUGGGAAACCCCCUUGUGCCAGUGCUGCAGUCAUUCAGGUAUUAACAGAGAAGACAGAGGCUGCCCAGCGCAUCAGUGAGAGCCUGAGGGAGCGAGUGGGAGCUGUGUGCCUGGAGGAGUGCCUGAGCUUCCUCGAGAGCUAUGGAAAUGAAAUAAGAAGCUUUCUCCAGCUCCAUGGCGGCCUUGGGGUCUGCAGCAGCCUACAAAUCCUCGAGAACUGCUACAUUCUCAGAGCUGCCUGGCAUAAGCUAACGUAUGUUUGCAGUGCCAGCACUGGUCAGGAUGUUAAGGUAAAAGGAUUUCUAGACCAGAUAGAGGAUGAGACUGUAGAACAUCUUCUGCAGAUAAUCACUUCUAAAGUCAAGAGAACACUGAAGGAUCACUUCAAAAAAUGUGACAGUGGUUUAGGUCACAUCCUAGAAUCCUUAAAGCAAAGCUUUUUGGCAUUUGAAAGGAAAAAUACAGGCAUAUAUGAGAUUCUUGUUAAGGCUGUCAACGUCACCAUUAUUACAGAAUAUGUGCGGGCCCUCCUGACCAUUUCCAGGAAACCAUCUUCUAGGCAGAGGAGGAGGAUUGUCAGCAAAAUAGAAGAAGAUCAUAGGAUGCUGCAAACCAUCUUUAAAGAGUGCUUAGGUCCUAAAGAAGGUUCCCUCAAGGAUCCAAUAAAAGCAAUUCUAGGACUUAUUCAAACUUCUGAUGCUGAGGGAAUGAAAAUAGCCCUUCUGCCCAUUCUCAGAGAAUUUCCUGAUCUAAGGUGGCCAAAGGGUGUUGAAAAGCAGUUCGACAGCUUCCAGACUUUGGUUUGGCCCAGCAAAACUGGGUCCUAG
rnacentral:lncRNA from 1 species